UCCUCGGUAGUAUAGUGGUCAGUAUCCUGCCUGUCACGCGGGAGACCGGGGUUCAGUUCCCCGCCGAGGGG